CAAAACAAUGUCACAAACUGAACCAAUCCGUUUCGGCAUUCUCGGUUGCGCCGACAUAGCCCGCAAACUCUCACGCGCCAUUCUCCUCUCUUCCACCGCCACCAUCUCUGCCGUCGGCAGCCGCACUCUCUCCAAAGCAACCACCUUCGCAAAACUCAACAACUUCCCUCCCACCGCCAAAAUCUACGGCUCCUAUGAAGAAGUUCUUGAUGACCCUAAUGUUGACGCUGUUUACGUGCCGUUGCCGACUACGUUGCAUGUGAAAUGGGCGGUGGCUGCUGCGAAGAAGGGGAAGCAUGUUUUGUUAGAGAAGCCGGUGGCUGUGAGUGUGAAGGAGUUUGAUGAGAUUGUGAAGGUGUGUGAGGAGUGUGGGGUGCAGUUUAUGGAUGGGACUAUGUGGAUGCAUCAUCCUAGAACAGAGGUGAUGAAGGGGUUUUUGGAGGAUGGAGAGAAGUUUGGCAAGGUUAAAUCGGUAUGUGUUUGUGUUUUGGUUUUGAUAAUGUUGAUGUAUGAAUUAUGAACACUCCUUAGAUUAGGCAUGUCUCAGUGUCUGACACAUGUUGUCUCGAACUCGAACACCACACGACACCGACACACAUAUAGUUAACAUGAAUCAUGUGAUUCUCUCAAAUUAUUAGAAUUGUUGGGUGUUCGUAUCCGUGUUUCAUAGUGCAUGGAAUACCGAUGCAGACACGAAUAUACAGAUGAUGUUUAAUAAAGAGGAAUGCUAGCCAUACUCUUUUUCAAACAAAUCCAUGUGGAUUUCAUCCCCUUAUGUAGAACCCAUAUCUAAAAUGUGUGGGACCCUCACGAAUUUCAUGCAAUAAGAUAGUGAAUGUUAGGGAGUUUUGGAAAGAAAAUGUUGCUAGCACUCCUCUUUAAGAAAAUAGAACCGAUUUUGGGUUUCAAUUUGUAUGUGUUUGUGUUUUGAUGACAUUGAUAUAUGAAUCACUGAUGCAGACACUUGACACGAGACUGACAUAGUAAGAUAUUGAUGAUGAUUUAGGAGAAUAGAAGUGGUUUAGGGUAAUGUUUGUUACCGAUUAUAAAAAAUAUAUUUUGUCAUUUUAGAUUAAUUUUUAGAGAUUUAGGGUUCCUUUGUUACGGAUUAUAAAUAAUGUGAUUUUGAUAAUCAAUAAUUAAGAGAUUACAUUUUAGAGAUUUUUAUAAAAGAAGUUGUGUUUGUGUGGAGGAUGGGGAGAGGUUUGGGUAGGUUAAAUCAGUAUGUAUUUUGAUAAUGUUGAUGUAUGAAAUAUGAAUCACUUAUACAGACACCUAACACGAUACUGACAGAUAGACAUGCAUGGGCGGAUUUAAUAUGAAACAUGGUGUGGCAGUUGCCACACCAGUUUCAUGGUUAGCCGAGUGGUUUGAGUCUACUGAAUGAUGUGCGUGACCUGUGUUCAACUCUUGUUGAGAAGCGCUUUUGAACAAUUUAUUUUUUAUUUUUUUAAGUUAUUAGUAUUAAAAAGGGUGUUGCAGGGAAUCAAACCUGCAACACAAUGGUAAAAUGCUUCCACCUAUACCAAUUCACUAUAUUGUUUAAGGUAUCAAUUAUUUACUUUGUUAAUAAAUAUAGUUGAUUUGAAUAUUUUGCCACACCAAUAUCAAAUGUCUGGAUCCGCUCCUGUAGACAUGUAGAUAUUGACGAUAAUUUAAGAAAAUAGAAUCGAUUCGGGGCUUAAAACGGUGUGUGUUCAUGUUUUCUUAACAUUGAUGUAUGAAACUAGAAGUGAUUUAGGCUAUGUUUUUUUUUUUUUAUGGAUUUAUGAAACAUGAUUUUGAUGUUAUGGAUUAACUUUUAGAGAUUAGAGACUUUGUUACGGAUUAUAAAAAAGUGAUUUUGAUACUAAAUAAACAUAUGUAGUCUUUAAAGUAUAUAUAGCAUCAAGUACUAAUAUGACAGAUUUGUAUAAAUUAGGAGAAUGUAGGAGAAAGAUGAUACCUCAGAUACUGAAAUUUGGAUUUCUUCAUAAGACUUUGCCUAAUUAUCUUAAGCUGAUAGUCUUUGAAAACUCAAGCAUUUCUGAAAACAUUCUUCAGCUGAGCAUGCUCUUAAGAAUGUGAAAACUCAAGCAUUUCUGAUCUGGUGAGAUACAAAGGGACUAAAUUGAUUUUCUGUUAUCAACUUCAUUUCGUAAAUUUGGAGGAUUAAAUCGUCCUGCUAUAGAAUUUAGAUAACCAAAAUGUUCAGUUACUCUUUUUCAAAUUCUGUUUUUGAACAAUAGUUACAAGUUUAAGUUGGCUUAGUGUAUAGAGAGUGGUUCUGUGCUUAAAGAAAAUUAUAAAGAGUUAAAAAAUUCCUGGUUAAUGUCAAAUAAUGUUUCAUUGAUAAAAUCGAAGUAUUGCUCUGUGUUAUUCUAGUUGUCUUCUCCUUGAUACUUCAUUAUUGAGUUGAGCUGUUGUUUGUCUGACACUGAAAUCCUGCUGCAUGCCUGGUCUCGUUUCUGAAUCAAAUUAUGACUUUCUAUAAGACAUUUAAGAAUUAACCUAUGAAGCACGGGUUCGGACACGGACAUUGAACACGACACGGACACUGACACGUCGACACCGCUAAUAAUUUGAGAAAAUAACGUAAUUCAGUGUAAUUAUAUGUGUCGAUGUCUGACACGCCUAACCUGAGGAAUGUCUAUGCUUCAUAGUUACUUAACUAUAAGCUAGAUCCAAAAUUAAGAACCAAAACAGAAAGUUAUGCCUUUGAUGUUAGUCUAUCGGGGUCCCUUGCCCUUAUGUAAAUUUGAAAAUUUUAAAGUUGUUGUAUAUAUGUGUGUAUAUUUCAAUCACAAGCUUAGACAUCAAGUUUUCAAGCACCAGUUAUGAUUCUGAAUUAUGUUCUAAUGAUUGUUAUAUCUUUUGCAUACAUGUUCUGCACUGAUAUAUGGUUUUAUUUGACAUUGCACAGAUUCACACCUGUUUUACAUUUGGUGCUGAUCCUGACUUUCUUGAGAAUGACAUCCGCGUGAAGCCGGAUCUCGACGCUCUCGGCUCUCUUGGUGACGAAGGAUGGUAUUGUGUUAGGGCAAUUCUGUGGGCUUACAACUACGAAUUACCAAAAACGGUAUUAGCCACGCGCGAACCAGUGCUUAAUAAAGCUGGAGUAUUAUUAUCUUGCGGUGCUUCUUUAUACUGGCAAGAUGGAAGAGUAGCAACAUUCUAUUGCUCUUUCUUAUCUAACCUAACAAUGGAUAUAACUGCUGUUGGGACAAAAGGAACACUUCAUGUUCAUGAUUUUAUCAUCCCUUAUGAAGAAAAGAAAGCAUCAUUUUAUGCAGCUUCAGAAUCAAGCUUUGAUGAUCUUGUCACUAAAUGGGGUUCACAGCCGAGUAAGCACGUAAUAGAAAACGAUCUACCUCAGGAGGCUCUUAUGGUAACUGAAUUUUCUCGUUUGGUGGCAGAAAUCAAAUCAAAAAACGCGAAACCUGAGAAGAAAUGGCCAACUAUUAGUAGGAAAACACAACUGAUAUUGGACGCCGUGAAGGCUUCGAUUGAUAAGGGUUUUGAGCCUGUACAGAUUCAGGAAUGAAAUUGUUUCGAAUAUAUCUUCACCCUGCCUAACUCGGAUCUUUGUUCCGUUAUUAGUGCGUCGCAAUAAGAAAAUAAUAUUUCUGGUGGAAAUGAACACUUUGUAUGUUCUUCAACUUAAAGGAGGAUGGUGAUGAAUGUAGUGAAUAACUAUUUCUAAGUUCAUUACCAGUUUCAAUAAGUGAGUAAUUUAUUGUGGAAGUUAUAUUUUGCUAUGAAAUCAAUUGAUUAAAGCAAUAAAAUAAUUGGAUGAGGUGGCUAGUUUUGAUUGGUGUGUGUUAAAAGAGUGUGUUAGGGAGUGUGACCCUAGCAUUUCUCUUAACUUAAUUACUCCCUCCGUUACUAAUUAUAAGAAAAAUUGACUUUUUAAGUUCAUUCAAUUAAUGAUGUAUGUGAUCCACAAUAUAAAUCACGUACAUCAAAAAAUUAAGGCAAAAUUAUAUUUUUAGUCCCUUAACUUAAUUUCAGGUAACAAUUUGGUCAUUUAUCUUUUUUUCAUUUCAAUUUGGUCCUUUUUGUCCAUUUUUAUAUACAUUUUCAAGCUUCAAAUCUAAUAUUCUUAUGCAAACAUAGACGAGGAUCAUAUAUUUGAAGAUUGAAAGACCAUAAGAAAAUAAAAUCAUGAAUUUUAAGCUUAAAAAUUCAUAUGAAAAUAGACAAAAAAGACCAAAUUGAAAUGAAAAAAAGAUAAAAGACCAAACUGUUACCUGAAAUUAAGUUAGGGACUAAAAGUGUAAUUUUACCUAAAAUUAAUUGAAUGAACUUAAAAAGUCAAUUUUAUUUAUAAUUAAUAACAGAGGGAGUACAUAAUAACAUUGACAAUAAACCCAACAAACAUGGUUUAAGUGGACAAACACUUAAAAAACCCAUACAAUUUUUUAUACUCCCUCCGGUCCUAUUUAUAAGAGAAUUUUGGGUCAACAAAAGUUGAUGUAUCUAGUUAAAAAUUCAGUCCAAAUACAUUCACUUUUGUUGACCUAAAUUUCUCUUAUAAAUAGGACCGAAGGUAGUAUUAUUUUUCUAUGAAAACAUUCCUUGAGCUGUGUGCAUUUAAUUAGGUGUUAGUUAUAAUUGUAGUCAUUAAUAUAAUGAUUUGGGAGAGAAGACAAUUACUCCCUCCGGUCUCAAAUGUAGGGAAAAAAACAAAAAAAUUUGUGGUCUCAGAUGUAAGAAAAAGUAUAGUAAAAGCAACCUAAUAAAUGCUACUAUUCCAAUUUUACCCCAUCUCUAUGAGUUCAAAAGUCACUUUCAUUAAUUAUUACUAAAGCAUGACAAGGGCAAAAUUGAAAAGUUGUACUUUUUUAACAUGACUUCGAUGUAAUCAUUUCAUUUUUUUAAUUGGUGUUUUUUUUUUUUUUUUUUCCUACAUUUGAGACCGGAGGGAGUAGGUGUUAGUUGUAAUUGUCAUUAAUAUUAAUAUGAUGAUGAUAUGAGAGGAAACAUAAGUAGGUGUUAGUUUUAAUUGUCAUUAAUAUGAUGAUGAUUUGAGAGGGAACAUAAUUAGGUGUUAGUUGUAAUUGUCAUUAAUAUGAGGAUUUGAGAGGGAAAUAUGGGACUAGGGUUGCAAAAGUGCUCAUCAGAUUGCAUAGCAUUAAUAUAUGAUAAAUUAUAAAUAAAACAUUAGCAAAUUUAUGAAUUUAAAAAUAAUAUAUGAAAGAAAAGAAAUAAUAUAUGAAAGACAUAUUAAAUUAAUAUAUUUAAAUUAUAAAUAUUUUAAAUAUCAAUUGAUAUAAAUUUAUUAUGAAUUAAGAAUACCCUUUGAUGUCAUUUUAUAUUUAUCAGUUAAUUGCACCGUUAAUUUUACAAAAACAUUUUAAGUAUUAGCCAUCAGCUAUAAUUUAUUAGCUACCUUGCCCAUAUCCGCUAUUUUUACAAAAAGAGUGUCCGAGUAUGAGUUCGAACUUCCUAAAAAAAAAGUAUGAAUAUGAAUAGGAAAAUGCUGCAUCUCGCGAAACAAUUUAACGCUACAAAAUCACGACACAUAAAUAUGAAUGUGGAGCCCCUUUUUUAACUAUUGCGGGACCUUUUUUCAUCUGCCACCCCAUGUUUUCAAGUAAAUAACAAAUCUCAUGGUUGGAAAUUAUUCACGACAGCUCGUGAAUUUUGCUCUCGUGUUUAAUAGGUUUUAGUUAUAAUUUCAAAAAGAUAGUUUUUUCAAACAAUAUAAUUAAAUAUGAUAAAAGUUGGUCUUUUUGCUUAUAAUUUAAGAUAAAGAAAAUGAAUUUUUUUUUCUUAUAUGAGGGAGGGAGUACAGUGUACUAUUAUCACCAUCAUAAUGUCACAAACAGAGCCAAUUCGUUUCGGCAUUCUCGGUUGCGCGGACAUAGCCCGCAAACUCUCACGCACCAUUCUCCUCUCUUCCACCGCCACAAUCUCCGCCGUCGGCAGCCGCACUCUCUCCAAAGCAACCACCUUCGCAAAACUCAACAACUUCCGUCCCACCGCCAAAGUCUACGGCUCUUACGAAGAAGUUCUUGACGACCCUAAUGUUGACGCUGUUUACUUGCCGUUACCGACGACGUUACAUGUGAAAUGGGCGGUGGCUGCUGCGAAGAAGGGG
rnacentral:lncRNA from 1 species